AAACAACAACUUUUAGGAUUUUUAUUCGUACAAAAAUACAAUCUAAAAUCACAGUCAUCAAGUAAAUAAAACCUUAGUUAAGCCGCGUUCGCAUUCCUCGACUUUACCAACUUAUUGAACAUCAUUUUGGAAAUAAGUCGUCAUUGCGACUCCUUGCGUCGUGACGCCCUGAAAAGUUAAUUGAAGCUUGACAUAACGUACCGCAAGAUAUCUUACGAAUGAAGCUUUGGAGGCGUUUAAACUACUAUUAGACCCCAUGUAUAUCAUGUUAGCUAGAAGAGGAUUCAGCAAAUAUGCACAGUAUGUCAAACGGCUUAGCGGAAUCCAACCUCGAAACGAAAGGAAUUUCUCUAAAGCUCCUGGAAAGAUUUUUAAAUUUCCGGUGCUAGGUUCAGGUCUCGACUCACGUGCGUUUCCUGUGGAACACGCGAUGAUAAGCCACCCUAAACCAAUCCCCCACAGAGUCCUUGACACUCCCAUGUACACUGCAGAAAACUCUACCGAUAAAUUUCUAGUGUACAAAGUAAACAAAAUCCAUAAAUUGAGGAGCGGAAACAAAGUCCACAAUAUAAUACGGGUUCUCUGAAAUCAUCAGCAUAAUAUUUGCCCACAAAUGCAAGACACUAACUUCUUUCAAAACCAGUUUUUGUUUUAAUUUAAUUACGUAAAUGUAAGCCGUAACAACUCCAAUUAAAUAUGGCCCAAUUCUGUUCCACGGCAAGUCAUAAAUUGCGUCAAGCUCAGUCAGUUGCUCAUCCAUACUAAAAUUAAUCACUAACACCUAAUUACCCAAAAUUAGGACUUACGUUGGAAUGUAGCGAAUAGUGUAAGACUUGUAAGUCGUGGCCAAAACAUUCCCAAUUAUUAAGAGAACUGUUAAAGCGGCUGAAAUUUUAAAUUUGCUGAAAGAAAACCACUGUUUCAGUUGAUUUUUCCCCCAAAAAAUACUUUACCUUGUUGACAAAAUGAGUAAAAACGAAACGACCGUAAAGAACUGAGUAUCAACUGACAAAUACCACGACCAGCUCAGACACAUCUCAGACCUCGGGUACAAGUUAUUAAUGUACAACAAAUUUCGCCACCAAUAUUUGGGGCAAAGCUCCUCGUUGCGUUCGCUGGAAUAAAGCACCGAAGCUUUGCGAUAGUACGUAUACAUAACAUCAGUCAUCAAUAUAACAAAUACGUAAGGUGGUGUUAGUCUUAAAAAUCGGUUGAGG